GCCUAACACAUGCAAGUCGAGCGGAGAUUAAGAAGCUUGCUUCUUAAUCUUAGCGGCGGACGGGUGAGUAACGCGUGGGUAACCUGCCCUAUACACACGGAUAACAUAUCGAAAGAUAUGCUAAUACGAGAUAAUACAUUUUUAAGGCAUCUUAGAAAUGUCAAAGAUUUUAUCGGUGUAGGAUGGACCCGCGUCCCAUUAGCUAGUUGGUGAGGUAAAAGCUCACCAAGGCGACGAUGGGUAGCCGACCUGAGAGGGUGAUCGGCCACACUGGAACUGAGACACGGUCCAGACUCCUACGGGAGGCAGCAGUGGGGAAUAUUGCACAAUGGGGGAAACCCUGAUGCAGCAACGCCGCGUGAGCGAUGAAGGCCUUCGGGUCGUAAAGCUCUGUCCUAAGGGAAGAUAAUGACGGUACCUUAGGAGGAAGCCCCGG
rnacentral:rRNA from 1 species